CAGGGCCUCUACCGUCUGGAGCAUCCCGGUGUCGCUCGUGUUUUCAGUGGAGUUCGGGUCUCUCCGUCACAGUGGCAUGCUCGUCUUGGUCACCCGGCCACACCUAUUGUCCGUCAUAUUUUGCGUCGUCAUGAGCUUCCUAGUUUGUCUAGUCAUAAAGAUGUAGCAGUGUGUGAUGCUUGUCAGCAGGGGAAGAGUCAUCAACUUCCUUUUUCGGAGUCCAGUCGUGAGGUGAAACAUCCUUUAGAACUUGUGUUUUCAGAUGUAUGGGGUCCUGCUCAGACUUCUGUCAGUGGUCAUAAUUACUAUAUCAGUUUCGUUGAUGCUUAUAGUCGC
rnacentral:rRNA from 1 species